CAAAUUAGAGCUUGAGUAAGCAUUUUAGUUACAUUAAAAAGAAAUUGUUAAAUCAAUUAAUUUGA
rnacentral:tRNA from 1 species